AAUGAACGUUGGCGGCGUGGAUUAGGCAUGCAAGUCGCGCGAUAAAAGUAGCAAUACUUGGACAGCGGCGAAAGGGAGAGUAAUACAUAGGUACGUACCCUUGGGACUGGGAUAGCGGCGGGAAACUGCCGGUAAUACCAGAUGACGUUUCCGAACCAAAGGUGUGAAUCCGCCUGAGGAGCGGCCUAUGUCCUAUUAGCUUGUUGGUGGGGUAAUGGCCUACCAAGGCAAAGAUGGGUAUGGGGUGUGAGAGCAUGCCCCCACUCACUGGGACUGAGACACUGCCCAGACACCUACGGGUGGCUGCAGUCGAGAAUCUUCGGCAAUGGACGCAAGUCUGACCGAGCGACGCCGCGUGCGGGAUGAAGGCCUUCGGGUUGUAAACCGCUGUCGUAGAGGAGGAAAUUCUGGUGGGUACUCCCAUCAGAUUGACUGAUUCUAGGAGGAAGGACCGGCUAAUCUCGUGCCAGCCGCCGCAGUAACAC
rnacentral:rRNA from 1 species